CAGCCGCCGCGGUAAUACCGGCGGCCCGAGUGGCGGCCACUAUUAUUGGGCUUAAAGCGUCCGUAGCCGGGUUGGUUAGUCUCCCGGGAAAUCUGGCCGCUUAACGGUCAGAAUUCCGGGAGAUACUGCCAGCCUAGGGACCGGGAGAGGCCGAGGGUAUUCCCGGAGUAGGGGUGAAAUCCUAUAAUCCCGGGAGGACCACCUGUGGCGAAGGCGCUCGGCUGGAACGGGUCCGACGGUGAGGGACGAAGGCCAGGGGAGCAAACCGGAUUAGAUGCCCGGGUAGUCCUGGCUGUAAACGAUGCGGACUAGGUGUCGGGCAAGCUAAGGGCUUGUCCGGUGCCGCAGGGAAGCCGUUAAGUCCGCCGCCUGGGGAGUACGGCCGCAAGGCUGAAACUUAAAGGAAUUGGCGGG
rnacentral:rRNA from 1 species